ensembl:lncRNA
CUGGCUCAAUUACAAUGGGGAAAGAUAUCCUUCUCCAGCUAGCCUCGCCCCAUCCCCUCCCCCCCAACACAAAUUGAGCUUCUUUACCUGCCCGGUUAUUCCCCCUUAGCUCGAGCCAGAGCUUGAGGCAUGCAACGGUCAAAGCGAAUUUCCUGAGGUCUGUGGAUAAGGCGACUGCUGCUGCCUUUUGAGAGGCGUCAGGCUUGAGCGUCUAUCUCCAGGAGUGCGGGAGGGGAGAACAGGCAAAGGAGGGGAGCAGAAGGAGGAGGAGAGGGAAAGAGCUGGGAAGGAGGAGGCGGUCGUGGAGCCCGAGAAGGCUGGGUUACGUGACGUUGGGUGCUGUCCUUCUGAAAGAGAAGGGCGGAGCUGAGCUCUCCGCAGUACCAUGGAGAGCGGCGGGCCGUCCCCAGACUGGGAUACUGGUGGGCUCAGCCCGCCGGGCACAGCCCCUCCCGAUGGGGAUGCUGCGCAGUGAGCUUUCUGUGCUCUGCCCUGGCAUGGACAUCCGGAGCUGAACCAAGUUCUGUUCCUGUUUAACUCUUCGCUCUAUCUCCUCCUUCCUUUUGCAGCUGGUAAAACCUGGAGGAAGUGAAACUUGAUACAAGGCACUGACCAUAUCACUGGGCAUGCCCAGUAGGCAUUGCUGAGUUUGGUGACAAAGGAGUUAAAUCUAAAGGAAGCUUGCAAAAAUAGGUGGUAGAGAAGUCUGAGGUGUGUGGCUUAAUUAUAGUUUGAGUCCUAUGGACAUUUAAAUUUCUAACCCUAUUAUAUUCCUAGUCUGGGUUAGUUUUAGAGCAUAAAAAGCAGACAUAUUUAUUUCAGUACCACAAGCCUAAUAGCUUCAGCCUUAAAUAUUGUUAAGGUAAGACUAUUUUCUGCAUUUCGGCCCUAUAUAGCAAAACUGUAAGAAGUAGACAAAUUUAGGAGUACUAAAAUAAUAUACAUUCCUAAUCUGAUAUCCAUUUCCUGCCAAAGAAACCAGAACUCAUUCCUUUUGAUAAGCCUAUUUAUACUUUCACUGCUUGUCUAAGAGUCUAAAUAACUUGGAGACAGGAAUAAAUUAUAUUAUUUUUAUUGGGUUCA